CUCACUUUGCCAUUGUCUGUUCAGAACUACAUACACAGUAUGAUGUGAUAGUUACAUGGCAAGAAAAAAAAAUGUUGCCCACAAGCUGUUGGGAUAAGUGAGUCACUAUUGAUGCACUAACGGCCACUAACCAGGUAAAUUCAGAAUACGCUACUUCUAACAUUGGAAGAGGUGAUGUCUGAUUGGUCUGUGAGAAACUAUGAUGAAAUUUGCUAAUAAUAGAAUUGCAUUCCUGAAUAUGGAAACAUGACACUUAAUUUUGAAGCUUGGGAUCAUUAUGGUUUUGGUAAAAACAGAUCAUAUAUAGCACCAUAGUGCAACACUCUCCCCUUAACUAGUAAAAUUGUCUGACAUUAGAUAGAUUAAAAUAAUACAGUAAGGCAUAUCAAGACUGCACAUUGCACUUGAAGGGUUAAUAUAUGUGUAUUUAUUAUAUAGUAGAGAGUGAAAUACUGAAAAAUACACAGUGAGAUAUUUUACAUAUCUUCACUAGUGCAUGAAGAUAUCGAUCACAUGACUUUUUCUAAUUAAUAAUAAUAUACAUGCAUAUGAUAUUUUCAUGGUGUAUAAAGAUGUAAUAUAAAUGUAUCAUGAUAAUAAUGUCAUCUUUUAUUUUGCAGAAAUUAUCUGUUUAAUGCAACCCAAGAGAUGGCACAGGCAUCAACAUGGAAAACAACAUGCAGAACAUCAAAAUGAAGUUAUAAUUAUAAUACCAUAACAACAUAAUAAAUAAUUAUAUGAUUAUAAUAACUUUAUUGAAGUGUAAAUUUUUAUAACAGAGCACAAUCGUGCUCCACUAAAUUAGGAAGAAUUAAAAUUAUACAUUUUUUAAUUGUUUACUGCUAGUUAAUAG